AGCUUCACCACUAACUGGCUGCGUGUCUGGGGCAGGUUAAUUAUGCACCCAGUGCCUCGUCUUUCUUUUUUGUAGAAAAGAUAAUGAUGCCUGUCAGUCUCAAAAGGGCAUGCAAGUGUGCUGGACACAGGGCCCACGCUCUGGCACAUAGCAGGUGUUUGACAAAGUCAUCUUAGCAGAGACACAGACUCCACCAGCGAAUAACCCAGGACCAAGGAAGGAUUUUGUUUUUUGGUUCUCUCUCAAGUUCUGCUGUAUCUGCAGAGACCAAGUAACAGCCUGAGGCUGAUAAGAAAAGUGUUGAGUGAUGACAAUGAGAUGACACGUCCUAGAUGCUGCAGCAAUGAAAGUCCCUUGGCGUGUGUUGGGUGUAAGCUGAGUCCCUCAGGAAAGGCACAGGAAAUGGAGGAGCAGAGUGGAGAGGGAGUGAGCUGGCACAAGAGGAUGGGCUUUGGGGAGCGAGAAAAACAAGUCAAGACGCCUUUCAGGAGUCUUUCUGCAGGAAGCACCACACCCACCGCCUCCCUGCCCCUUUAAAAAUACUCCCGAAAGAUACAUUGUAUCUUAAGGUGUAUGAAACAGAUCACAAGUUUGUCCCAAUAGGCAGAGACUGUGCCACAUGGAGCGCUAAGAUUUGUUUGGGUUUCACUGACUAUUAUUUUUCUUUGAUAAUAAAGAAACUGGACAUUUUCACGCAUCGAGUGAAAGAAUUUGAAACAGAGAGCG
rnacentral:lncRNA from 10 species